GCGGGUCUGGACGCGGCGUCGCUUCGGCCUCUGCCCGACGUGGGUGAGCGGCGUCGAGGAAGCGACGGUCGAGGGGGCGAGUCGGGUCGUCGCGGCGCUGCAGCCCUCGAGAAGGUACUCCGAGCUCUUCUUCCCUGGGGCGUACGAGUGGGAGGCUCUCGCUCGCCUCGUGGAGCAGCUCGGCCGAGAGGGAGUCCGGGUCCGGAGGGGAGUGGUUGCUUCUCCUGAAAUCGACAGAGGAAGAAAUGGGCGGCUGAGAGGCCUCGUGGAAAGGGGGUUGGGCGGUAGCUUUUGGACGUGGGACGAAGAAAGGAUCUGGAGGUUUUAAAGAUUGCCAGAGGGGCUGAGGGGAGGCAGCCAGCACUGAGCCUUGCCCUGAAGGGAUUUUCGCCUGUGCCAUGGUUGCAACAUCAUCGUGUUGAUAUAUUUUCUUCCUUUUUGGAAAGUGAUUCAUCCUGUAUAUGUACAGGGUAGAGUUACAUGUACUUUAUGCAUAUAUAACGUAUGUGAAAUUUUAUGUACUGUCUAGUGAUUAAAAUACUUUUUUUUCAAUAUCAUUUCACACAAAGGUAUUAAAUGACAUGUAGUUUUCAAUAUUCCUAGGCUGUUAUACAACAGAAUGAUAUACAUGAUGGCAGAUGAUUUUGCUUCAUUCAAGAGAGGGUUCUUAGUUUGAUUAUAAGUUUUACCUUUAGACCUUGGCAUCUGGUAUUUUUCGUGCUUCUCUUUCAUAUGGAUGCUGAGGUCAAGAGCCUUUCCUCAUUCAGGAUUUUUGUCCUUGGUAUUUUUAGAUUUCACUGCUGAAGAAGUUGGUUAAUAUUGAUGUGGGUUAAGUUUCCUUUCAUUACAGAUAUACAGUUAGAUAACAUGUCCCCAUUGUCUGUUGCAAGAAUAUUGGACCAAUAAGUAAUAAGACAGAC